rnacentral:rRNA from 1 species
AGGCUUUGAUCCUGGCUCAGGAUGAACGCUGGCGGCGUGCUUAACACAUGCAAGUCGAACGAACCUUCGGGUUAGUGGCGGACGGGUGAGUAACGCGUGAGAAUCUGCCCUCAGGAGGGGGAUAACGGCUGGAAACGGCCGCUAAUACCCCAUAUGCCGAGAGGUGAAACGAAUUUCGCCUGAGGAUGAGCUCGCGUCUGAUUAGCUAGUUGGUGGGGUAAAGGCCUACCAAGGCGACGAUCAGUAGCUGGUCUGAGAGGAUGAUCAGCCACACUGGGACUGAGACACGGCCCAGACUCCUACGGGAGGCAGCAGUGGGGAAUUUUCCGCAAUGGGCGAAAGCCUGACGGAGCAACGCCGCGUGAGGGAUGAAGGCCUCUGGGCUGUAAACCUCUUUUCUACAAGGAAGAAGAUCUGACGGUACUUGAGGAAUAAGCCACGGCUAUAUCCGUGC